CGGCGCGGGGCGGGGCCCGCCGGCGUCUUAAAGGGGCCGAGGCUGCCCGCGGACCUCUUGUUGGCCGCGGCUCCGCGUGGGUACUCAUCUUGCAGCUGCGUCCCUGUACCUCCAACGCGAGGAGGGCCCCCCCCAGACACGACGGCCCGGAGACGCCGCCCUGGGGUCGUGACCUUUAUGGCCCGCGGACUCCUCUCUCCACCCCAGCGCCAGGGCCCGUCCCACCCAUCUCCGACCCUGGCCGGGGGGGGAGGGAUCCGGAGGCUCAAGCCCACCCUUAACGGGGGCGGGCAGGGUCGGCCUGGAGGAGGGUCCUGGCGCGGCGAAUCCCCAGGCCGCCCCCGGUCGUCACCGCCCGUGGGUGACGGCGUUGUGAGCGACCCGGCAUCCCCAUCAGCGCGACGGCCCGGGUCAGUGGAGGCGCAAACCCCUGCAGGAAAGGAGCGUCGUGUGAACCGUGCCCGCUCACGCUCAGCUGCUGUUCAUUCCCUCGGGGGUUUUCUUGACAAAUUAUAUUAGGUAAUUUAUAGGGGCCGUGGCCACUGAUUACGAAUAACUCCCCCGCUGGGGACAACACCCUAAGUAGUGAGCACCCACUGCGUGACAGGCACUGUUGCACCUUUGUGCUUCGGUUUCUUAGCCUCGCAGCAACCCAGGAGGUGCUUUUUCUUUCCCCAGGUUACAGCCCGGGGACUGAGGCUCAGAAGAGGGGAGUGACCGAAACUUGACCGCAAAGACCUGUCAGGCUCCCUGGCUGACGCAUUUUCACUGUCACACGCCAGUGCUUAACGGGAAGCAGGGUCAGCAGCUGAGACCCAGGAGACAAGAGAAAGGUGUGACAGUCACAGAGGAGAAUGGGCUAUUGAGCAGGCCAGAGAGUCCGGAGCUGACUGCGGGGCAGCGUAAGAGCUGACGUGAGGAAAGGUGGAUCUUCAGACCCCAAAUCCAGUGCAUGACCCUGACCGUCACGCCCCCAGCCUCCACGCCAAGUGCCCAAGAAAAACCAACCACCGUUUGUCGAUUUACCAGAAAUACAUUCUCACUGAAGAAGACUUGGAACAUGCCUUUUUGUCUGUGCAUCUUUCUCAGAUAGCUGAAAUCCUGCUUCUAAUCCACUUUUAUAUCGUGUAUAUUUUAAAAAAUUUUUAGUAUUGCCAUUUCCAUUUAAAAGUGAGUAAAUAUGAUUUUCUUUUUAAAGAUUGGCACCUGA